AUUGAACGCUGGCGGCAUGCCUUACACAUGCAAGUCGAACGGUAACAGGUUAAGCUGACGAGUGGCGAACGGGUGAGUAAUAUAUCGGAACGUGCUCAGUCGGGGGGGAUAACUGCGCGAAGGAUCAGCUAAUACCGCAUACGACAAGAGGGUGAACGCGGGGGAGCGCAAGACCGCGCGCGAUUGGAGCUGCUGAUAUCAGAUUAGGUAGUUGGUGGGGUAAAAGCCUACCAAGUCAACGAUCUGUAGCUGGUCUGAGGGGACGACCAGCCACACUGGGACUGAGACACGGCCCAGACUCCUACGGGAGGCAGCAGUGGGGAAUUUUGGACAAUGGACGCAAGUCUGAGCCAGCGAUGCCGCGUGCGGGAAGAAGGCCUUCGGGUUGUAAACCGCUUUUGUCAGGGAAGAAAAGGUUCUGGUUAAUACCUGGGACUCAUGACGGUACCUGAAGAAUAAGCACCGGCUAACUACGUGCCAGCCGCCGCCGUAA
rnacentral:rRNA from 1 species